rnacentral:lncRNA from 1 species
CCCGAGCGCUUGAGGUGCGCGGUGUAUUUCUUGUUGAAGUCGUGGGGGGCGACAUCCUUCACCGUGAGCGCCGAGGAGGCCGUGGCUGCGGUCUCGGUAGUGGUAGCCAUCCUGCCGCCUCUCGCCGAAGACACCGCUGUCAAGGAGGAAGUGGGAUGCACGCCGCUGCGGCUGAGAGGGCUAGGGUUUUUGAGGGAGGUUGGGGUGCGUGGGCGGACGAGGGAGGGAAUUUAUACUGGGGCGGAGUUGGAUUAUGGGCCGCAUCCCGCAUCAUGAAGAAGUGGGCCGGGUGGGAAUCCAAGGUUUAGACCAGGCCGAAGACAAAACUCUUCCAUACCCAAAAUAUUCCCUGCCCAAGAAAAGUCAAAGCUCCUCUCUCAAAAAAGAAGUGAAAGCUGCUAAAAAAAAUUCAAAGAAAGAAAAUUGGCGGCGGUGUCUGCUGGAUUUCUAGUUCGUACGUGGGCUCAUACGCCACACUAAAGAGGUGUAUGUUUGCGGAAACCGCAAAAGGGAUAAGAUAAACUGUUCGAACGUAGGUGAUGUUUAUUCCGUCGAAAUCGAGAUUGGGUGAAGUGGGGAGGUGUUGGUCAUGUGAAGGGGAACUGGCUCAGGGCCCAACACUUGUUUUGGAAGAUGGAGGAGAGGACAAGGGAGCUUGGCCUUGAGCCGCGAAAGGUUCGCAAGAAAAGUUAAAUUGGCACCAUGCAGAGAGGUUGAAAUAACAAGCCCAUUAAAGGUAAGAAAGAUUUAUCGAGUGGGCACAAUAUCAUGUGGUGAUGGAUAUCCUUGCUUGCCCGUCUCGGUGUUACUUUUUUCUCUUGAGCUAUCAUUUGCAAUCCCUGUUGGUAAUUGUUAUAAUGUUGUACUUUUUUAUUUUGUUUUUCUUUCCAAUGUACUUACUUCGGAAAGAAGUAGAGCCCAUCACCUAAGAAAAGAUGAUCUAAUGGUAGCUCUCGAUUCCUGGUGUGUCUGCCUAUCACCGCAACUCGUGAACUAUGAAAUUCUUCAAUUUGAGUAAUGCUAUUCAGGUGAGGAACACCCCACCCGCCCACCCACCCACCCACAGUUUGAUUCCGGAAGUAAGAAAUGUUACUCUUCGCAUGAUCCAUCAUUUGUCUGUAAAUUAGCUUGCUCCGUGUGCAACAGAUCCAAUCCCUUGUGCUAUGCAUUAAACAUAUUCUUGUGGAAAUUUUCAACUGCUAGCAAACAAAAAUACAAGACAAUGGACAAGCAAAUGUUUUCAAUACUAUGUAUUUCACACCCCUGAAAAAUGACAGUAGAACAUACUUUUAACAUGAAAAAAUAUAGAGAAAAGGUUCACUCUUUGAGAACUAACAUACAAAAUCAUUGUCUUCAGAGGUUACCAUGGAACAUGGCAACUUUAAGAUUUUACACACCAAGGAUCCAACUACACAAGUAUGGCAAAAGGUACAAAAGUAAGACUUACAAGACCAACCAUCCAAUUAUGCUAUAAUUACCUUUAAGAAAGAACUACAACUACCAUCUCAUUAUGCCACCUUUACCUUGAUAAAAACUGUAACUACCAUAUAAUUAUGCUAGGGUUACCACUAUCAAAGAAUUGGACAUGCUCUCUACUUAUGCUAUAGUUACCUCCAUCAAGAACUAGACCUACCAUCUGCUUAUGUUACCUUAACCAUUGUAAAGAAAUGCAGCUGACAUCUAUCUAUGCUACAAUUACAUAUGCGAUGAACAAAAACUACCAUCUAGUUAGGCUACAUUUUCCCUAGGUAAGAAAUGCAGAUACCACCUUAUUAUAUUACAAUUAGUACCGGACUAGCUGUCCUGUGUCCCAGCCAAGUCUUACGGUGCGGCGUUCAACACUUCACCACACAUGUACACGAGCAUAUGCCACUGUGAACCUAACAUUGUUUUUUGGAAAAGAACUAGUAGCCACGCUUAGAUAAAGCGAUGGCUACAACUACCAUUUUAUGGCUAAUAAACAACUCCCUAUGUUUCAAAAUAUAUGGUGUAUAACUUCCGUUGAUUAUCAAACUUUCUAAAAUUUGACCAACCAUAUAACAAAAGAUGUCAACAUGUACGAUGCCAAAUGUGGAUCAUUAGAUCCAUUGUGAGAUACAUUUUUAUAGUAUCUUGAUUUGGCAUUCUAUAUGUCGAUAUUUUCUGCUAUAAGCUUGUUCGUCAAACUUUAAAAAGAGUUGACACUCAACAAAAGUUAUACGUCCUACAUUUUGGAACGAAAGGAGUACAUUAGUAACUUAUAAUUGUGGUAACUUCAUACUAAAUAAACCGGCAACUACAACUAAAUAAACCGAUGAUAGGGAUACCUUAAAAUACAGUGACGUAAUUAUGCAAUACACAACCUGGAAAUCAGACUUGCAUAAAUUGAUGACAAGUGCCUACAAUUAUACUCUGAUGGCUUGAAAAAAGGUACUCCCACGAGCAGCAUAACUUGUCAAUCUUAUCCUAGACGAUUAUCAAUGCCAAAAUAACCUUUCUUGAUCUGUUUUUUUACCGAGCCUUGGAAUAUUUAACUUGGCCUAGAACUAUAAAGACCCAUGACAAACAAAUAUUGCUGCAAAUUUGUUUUACAUUUAAUUCUAACAUUCAUUUUUCGAUUACUUUUGAAUGUGUUGAUGAUGAAACUUGAACACACGAACAUUUUGUGGCCACGAAAGAGAUGUUGCAGAAAUGGACCGAAUUUCUAGUAUAGAAUGUGAACCAAAAUACAUUUUUUGCAUCAGUUCACUAAAUUAAUAACACCAAAAAACCUGAACAACAGGAAUGUAAGAAACCUAAAUCGUUAGUCCUUUGUAAACUUUGGAUCAGAACAGUGCAAAAUUAUUAGAACUCAAAAUCCUGUAUGUCCUUUGAAUUUGACCCACGGAAAUUAUAAGAACCAGUCUACCGGAGCCAAAGUAAGACCAUUGGAUUUGGACCAUAAACCUAGAAAUGGAAAACAAACCGAUGAAAAAUAAAGAACAACGCAAAUAAAUUAAGAGCAUCCCAUGCAUCUUCCGUUUUCUAAUCCAACAACUAAAUUAGGACACCUUGUAUUAUUUCAACUCCCAACAAACACUGGCACUGCAGUGUAUACUAUUGAUCAUUUUUGUAUGCGAAAGAUGAAACUGCCGAAGUCACAGGGGCACCAAAGGUUAAUGCUAGUGCAGGCAAAAAUUGACCUUAGUCGGGAUAUCAAGCAAGCAUAGCAUGGGAGCAACCUAGCAUCUAGCAGCAGGAAAAUAAAAGGGAUCAAGCACACCAAAUUGAGACAUUUCUUGCCAAUUGCAGAGAGCCUAGACAGCCGACUUGCGCACCUUCUGACUGCAGUGCAAGGACAGCGACUCGCCAAGUUCAGACAAGGAUACACAAAUGGAGGCAUGAAGCUAGACGCGAGCAGACUUGGGGUGAAUUUGUGUUCUUUCUGCAAAUGGACUUUAGUUUUUGCUCUAAUGCUCUGAUUGAUUAUUGGUGGCAUCGAGCUUGUUCCACCAUCACACCACCCAUCUCCUUGCAGCACCUAAUGGGCCAGCGCUGCAGCUAGUAGAUCGCCGUUGCAGGAUGUGCACACAGCGGCCAGAACUCCCUAGUCCUUACUUAUGACAUCCUCACAGGGAUUGGAGGAAAUUUGAGCUAAACUCUCGUCAAUCGUUCCAAAUCCAAACCGGGAUGGGGUUAACUAUGACAUCAUCACAGGGAUUGGAGGAAAUUUGAGCUAAAGUCUCAUCAAUCCUUCCAAAUCAAAACCAGGAUGGGGUUAAGAGUGUGAGGCCCUGCAAGUGUGAGGGAAGACGCCUGCUGCGGCCAUCAGUUUCAAGAGUGCCGCUUUUGGGGUGUUCAUUGUAGAGACGUAGAGACAAACAUGCAAGAACAAAAAAUUCAGGACCAGGAAAUCUAAGAAGCGCCGCACAUGAUGACUAAACGGCACACGUGUGGCAGAUGGAACUUUCCUAUAAAUAAUGGUAACUACACAACGGAAUAACCAUGCAUUAAAAUCAUAUACAAAAACUUCAAUAAUUGAAAAAAUGCAACCAAUCCACAUUCAUGACCAAAGAAUUGCAUAAUAUACCCACAAAAUAAAAGACUUGCAUACGCCAAGAGACUCCAAUACAAGGGUUCACAAACAUAGAUGGUCUGGCGGUUAACCUAGAAGCUCCGAAAAUAUCUCAUCCCAACAUAAUUGGACACAUCCCACGUUAACAUCUUUCAGGAACAAACACAUGGGUAUCUGGAUUCAAAACUGUAGCCAAAUUCUACUACCAAACAUUAAGAUAGUUUCCAUUGAUCAGAUUUCAGGAGCAACUGUUCCAGCAACCUGGUCAAGAUCACGCCUUCCCUGGGAGGUGAUGAUCCUUCCACUGCAACGGACCAUCAAGACAGAGCAUAAGCAAAUAACAAGGUUAUUCAUAAAGUUAACUAUGGCUAAGAUCAGAAAGCACAAAUGCAGCAACAUUACCCCUUGGGAUCAACGUCAAUGAUCCCCAUCUUCUGCAACUCCUGCAGGAUGUUGCGGGAAAUAGCACCACUGCUCUUGCAGAAGUGCGGGGGACGUGAGCCAUUCCUCUGUCGUCCACCGUAGAUCUUCUGGAAGCCACCGAUCCCAAUACCCUGCCUCAGGUAGAUCUUCCUUGCAAUUGAAGCUAUAAAUGAAAUCCAAAAUAAAAAUCAGUGUUUCCCAGAAAAAUCAUUUUACCUGUGGAUAAAAUCAGGCUAUAUAUUGGAAAUGAUAGAACAGGUUUCCUCACCAGCUCUGAUGUAAUACCAAUCGGGAUCAUUGGGAGGAAGCUCCUUGAACCUUGCAGUCUUGACAAUAUCAACCCACUCAGGAAGCUCCAUCUGCAAUACAUAUGAAAUUUUAUUUUCCCAAAAUUCUGGUACCUGAUCUAUUUGCCGUUCACCAAUGUAUGUAGCAACGCAAGUCACUGAAGUAAAUUUCCAUUAAUAAAAAUGCAUUAUUAGUUGGAAGAACUAGUGAUACCAUUGAAAUGCAAUGAUGUCUCAAGUUUGACAAAAUUUGGAUGUAUCCAGACGUGACUUAGUAUGUAGAUGCAUUCAAAUUUGGUCAAAGUUGAGACAUCCUUUGUUGGACGGAGGGAGUAUUUGCGUAGGUCACAAAAGUUGUACAUUGUUCCAUUUGUACAGCAGGCUCAAACAUUAGAUGACAAUGUCAUAGUGCUUCCAUUUCGUGCUUCCAUUUCCAUCAAUCAUCAGUUGACACAUAAACACCAACAGGAACAACCGUAGGCAAUAAAAGAGUUAAAAUGCUUAUAUGCAGGUUAAGUGAGACAUAAUUCGUUAAAUGAUUUACAUUCACAGAGAAGUGGUCAGACAAAAAAAAUGGCAUGAUCAACGUAUAUAAAUGCAACGGGGAAUCAACCGGCAGCAGGGACAAAAUGACAAAAACAAAACAAGCACCAUCAGGCCCUUACAAUCAAAAAGGAGAGCCACCGACAUAUUUGCAUGAGACUUAUUCUUUAAAUGGUUUACAUUGAAAGAGAAGUGGCCAGACAAAAAUAAUAAUAGCAUGAUCAGCAUAUAUAAUUGCAACGGGGAAUCAACCGGCAGCAGGGACAAAAUGACGAAAACAAAACAAGCACCAUUAGGCCCUUGACAAUCAAAUAGCUACUCGAUUUCGCACUACAUCCACAGUUGUGGUAUUGUUAAAGAAAUCAUCCGUGAUCCACAAAUAUUAGGCUAGGGACAACCAUUCCGAAGCAACUCCUACAAGGUAAGAAUGUUCCUACGUGGGACAGGCACUGUAAGCCUACGAAGCAAACCGAUUCAAAAGAUUCACAGGGAAAUACAGAUUAUACGCUUUGUCACACAUAGACCGGAUACAACACUCCCCUACUCGUCGACCCUAGCGACAGAUCUGAAAGAAGGGGCGUGUUACCUUGCCCGAGCGCUUGAGGUGCGCGGCGUAUUUCUUGUUGAAGUCGUGGGGGGCGACAUCCUUCACCGUGAGCGCCGAGGAGGCCGCGGCUGCGGUCUCAGUAGGGGUAGCCAUCCUGCCGCCUGUCGCCGACGACACCGCUGUCAAGGAGGAGGUGGGGUGCGCGCCGCUGCGGCUGCCGGGGGCUAGGGUUUUGUGAAGGGUGGGUGCGUGAGCGGAGGAGUGAGGGAAUUUAUACUGGGGCUGAGUUGGAUUAUGGGCCGCAGGUGGGCCGAG